AGAUCCAUAUGUAGGGUAUUUUAUGAUCAAAUCAUGUGCUUGCAUUGUAGAUUAAAAUAUUUAAUCUAAAUUUAUUUCACUGUAAAAUUUAAAAAAUACAUGCAUGAAACUCCUAUGAUUUUCCAACAGUGGUAUCAAAGUCGUGCUUCUUAUGACAUGUAUAUUCUGCAUGUACCUUUAUAAAAUCUAAAUUUUAAUUAUUUAGAUUAGAUCUAAAUAAUUAAUUUUAAUUUUGAGUAGUAUAGUAGUCGGAUUGGGU
rnacentral:lncRNA from 1 species